AAGGGGAGAAUUAUUAAUUAGAGUGCAGGGAACAUAUGUUACACUACUAUACUUAAACUGAAAACAGUAACUAAAGGGAUGUAAAGUGGUGAGAAAAAGAUCAUUUCAGGUCACUUCUCAUCAACUUAUGAAACUUUCGCUUUCAUUUUACUAUUUGCCAAGUGUCUCGCCUUUACAACGACUGCAGAAAUCAGCACAACAACCAUAGCUUGUCAAGAAUAUGAAGGGUGAUCCAGGCCACUUGCCCAGCCCGCUUGGGUCGCUUUCUCCUUCACUGAACAUGUUGAGGACUUAAACAUGCUCCUCUGUGGAGCCAACAACUCCAUACUGAGGGUUAGGUCUUGGUUGAGAGGGCUUUGUACUGGGUCACUGCUGCUUGUUUCCAGUCAACACACCCACUCACCCUUCUCAAAACUGGCACAGUCACUGUCAGUAAAAGACUGAGAGAUAUGAGUACGCGGGAAGUUUGUGGUGUAUGUGUGUGAGUGUUUGCGUGUGCGUGUGUGUAUUUGUAGGUGCCUGUGGUGUCAGUGGUUCUGCUUGACAGUACAUGUAUAGUUUUUAUAUCCACGUACAUGUAAUUGAUACUACACAUUGCAUCAAAAAACAAAACAACAAAAACAAUAAAGGAAAAAAUGUUCAUCCUCUUCUUCGUCAUUGCUCUUUUUUGUUCCAUUGUAGCUUAUGUCUCUGUCACAUAUCUUGUCCACGUUGUACCGAUUGAAGAGUGCUUUUUUUUACCUUGUUAGUCUGCACUUCCUCAUAAAGAACAUGUGAAAACGUGCAUUUUGCUACAGAUAAAGCAUAAGAACAGUAGCCAUUUCCCUGCACAAAAAUAUCCCAUGACUUCCACAAGUGACCUCUUGUCAUCUGUACAAGAAAACAUGAGCCAAUUAGACAAUAAAUUAACUUGAUUAAAAAACAAAACAAAACAAAAACCCAACUCAAAAGCCUUUUCCUGUGCAUGUGGAUGUCAUAAAUGCCUAAUAGCUGGGCUCACAUGCAUGCUCGCUAACUGACUGUAUGUCUUUGUAGACAAAGGUGAAAUAGGGUCAAAAAGGUAAUUCCGCUCAAUCUGUUGACACAAUCUGGCAACACAAAGCCUAUUUUACUGUUCCUGUGCUCUUACGGUUCUCAUUGUGUCCUAGACUUCACCUGCUGACCUUUACAGUUAAUUUUCAAAAUAAACAAAAGUCCUAAAAAAGCAUAAGCAUUUCUUGCAUGUUAAAUGUCAAGAAACUAUUCUCAGAUUGUCUGUGUGAAAGAAAACUACAAGCAUACACAAGGCAUAAAGACAGAUUUUUGAAAAGACAGUCAAGUGCUUUUCAAAUGAAUAACCUACACAUGUUAUCUGUAAAGGAAUCAGCAGAGAGCAUCAGCCCAAAACUGCAAAUCAGCUGAUUGGAGGAGGAGCCGACAGGAAGAGCACAAAACUUUUCUACCACCUCUUUCUGUGACACCCAUCGUGGGUGUAGGACUUUCUUUCUACACCAACCUGUAUUUCACAAAUAUACAAAUAGACCAACGCUGAACAUAAUGGGAGCUGCAGCUUAAAAGAGUGUUUGCUGUGCUGCCAGAAGACAGUGGGACAAACUGGUGUUUUAGUGUGUUCAACAGAUCUUUAAAGACAUGGCUGCAAACACAGUUUGACAACCAAUAGCACCUCAGUUCUCAUCCCCAAGAAAAAGUAAAACGCUCCCAAGCAACUGCUUUACUUUGACCUCAAUAUACAAACAUCCUGGCGUGAACCUGAAAUAUACUGUAAAAGCAAGUCAGCGGAUCUGCCUUUGUCAUUUUCCUCCAUGUACAGGAAGCUCACUGUAACAUGUCACUGCUAUUUCAUCACUAACCUCACUUUGGCUUCAAAUAAUUAAAUAAAUAAAAUCCACCUUACCUUCAGCUCUGUGUUACCAUGUAAGAGCAGGAAACUCUAAAAAGGAGCACCACAAACCUGAGACAGACAGACAGAGAGA